GCCCCGGUAAACGGCGGCCGUAACUAUAACGGUCCUAAGGUAGCGAAAUUCCUUGUCGGGUAAGUUCCGACCUGCACGAAUGGCGUAAUGAUGGCCAGGCUGUCUCCACCCGAGACUCAGUGAAAUUGAACUCGCUGUGAAGAUGCAGUGUACCCGCGGCAAGACGGAAAGACCCCGUGAACCUUUACUAUAGCUUGACACUGAACAUUGAGCCUUGAUGUGUAGGAUAGGUGGGAGGCUUUGAAGUGUGGACGCCAGUCUGCAUGGAGCCGACCUUGAAAUACCACCCUUUAAUGUUUGAUGUUCUAACGUUGGCCCGUAAUCCGGGUUGCGGACAGUGUCUGGUGGGUAGUUUGACUGGGGCGGUCUCCUCCUAAAGAGUAACGGAGGAGCACGAAGGUUGGCUAAUCCUGGUCGGACAUCAGGAGGUUAGUGCAAUGGCAUAAGCCAGCUUGACUGCGAGCGUGACGGCGCGAGCAGGUGCGAAAGCAGGUCAUAGUGAUCCGGUGGUUCUGAAUGGAAGGGCCAUCGCUCAACGGAUAAAAGGUACUCCGGGGAUAACAGGCUGAUACCGCCCAAGAGUUCAUAUCGACGGCGGUGUUUGGCACCUCGAUGUCGGCUCAUCACAUCCUGGGGCUGAAGUAGGUCCCAAGGGUAUGGCUGUUCGCCAUUUAAAGUGGUACGCGAGCUGGGUUUAGAACGUCGUGAGACAGUUCGGUCCCUAUCUGCCGUGGGCGCUGGAGAACUGAGGGGGGCUGCUCCUAGUACGAGAGGACCGGAGUGGACGCAUCACUGGUGUUCGGGUUGUCAUGCCAAUGGCACUGCCCGGUAGCUAAAUGCGGAAGAGAUAAGUGCUGAAAGCAUCUAAGCACGAAACUUGCCCCGAGAUGAGUUCUCCCUGACUCCUUGAGGGU
rnacentral:rRNA from 1 species